AUGGAGGCAGCAGACUGUAAAGUGUUUAAUGCGUCUCCCACAGAGCCCACAGCUCAGACCCUCCAGUUGUCUGUGUCUGAGAGCCUACUCAAUGAGGCGACGAGGGCAGGAUGGAAGAAGUACUUAGAAUCAUUCCUUAUCUUUGAAGAAGUGCCAGGAUGGGAUGGCUCACUUGCCGAGAUGACUCCACUUCUCUGGUUCAGAGACAGGAGACAGGAGAGUGGCUGCCUGUCUAUUUACAGAGGAGCCGGGACUCCAGUGCAUCUACAACCAGUGGAUAUCCUAAGAGUCUUGUACUACAGGACGGCUGGCGUGAGGGGAGGGCUCUACUGCAGGGCAUCCAGUGCUAGAGGAGAUCAGUGUAUUGCUGUAUAUUUUAGGGCAGGGGGAUAAAGUCUGUAUGCUAGUACAAUCAAGGUUAGAAUGGGUCCAAGACUGGAGUGGGACCAGGGCUGUAGCCCCAGCUCAGAGUGACGGUCCUCAGGUAUUUCCUCCUAAGACAGCCAGGGUUGGAGUGGACCCAGAGGAGUGUUGGAGCUGUGUAUUUCAGAACAGACAGGGGGAAACCAUCCAGGGCUUUAUUACAUCUACAACACAGGAGGCUGGAUGAAGGGAGGUGUUGCCCUUCUUUGACCACUGUGUGUUCCAGGCAAGCUAUCCAGGGCUACAGUGGAUCUACAGCACCUGUUUCCUGUACAUCCAGGACUGGCGGAGAGGAGAACUGGAUCUGCCUACACUAUAAUUGAUUGGAUUUACAUAACGCUUUUCAGUGUGCAAAGCGCUUUACAUGCCGCUGUAGGCUACACCAGGCAGCUCUCCUUCUUCCCCGAGACGCCAGCGGUCAGAGCGCUGUAUGUCAGUACAUCCAGAAGAAGAGUGGAUCCAGUGCUAUAUCUGAUCUAAAACCAAGGAAGAGCAUAGAGGUGUGGAUGAGACCGCUGUGUUCCUAGACCGCUGUGUUCCUAGACCGCUGUGUUCCUAGACCUCUGUGCUCCUAGACCGCUGUGUUCCUAGACCGCUGUGUUCCUAGACCGCUGUGUUCCUAGACCUCUAUGCUCCUAGACCGCUGUGUUCCUAGACCGCUGUGUUCCUAGACCGCUGUGUUCCUAGACCGCUGUGUUCCUAGACCUCUGUGCUCCUAGACCGCUGUGUUCCUAGACCUCUGUGUUCCUAGACCGCUGUGUUCCUAGACCUCUGUGCUCCUAGACCGCUGUGUUCCUAGACCGCUGUGUUCCUAGACCGCUGUGUUCCUAGACCGCUGUGUUCCUAGACCUCUGUGCUCCUAGACCGCUGUGUUCCUAGACCGCUGUGUUCCUAGACCGCUGUGUUCCUAGACCUCUGUGCUCCUAGACAGCUGUGUUCCUAGACCUCUGUGCUCCUAGACCGCUGUGUUCCUAGACCGCUGUGUUCCUAGACCGCUGUGUUCCUAGACCUCUGUGUUCCUAGACCGCUGUGUUCCUAGACCGCUGUGUUCCUAGACCGCUGUGUUCCUAGACCUCUGUGUUCCUAGACCGCUGUGUUCCUAGACCGCUGUGUUCCUAGACCUCUGUGCUCCUAGACCGCUGUGUUCCUAGACCGCUGUGUUCCUAGACCGCUGUGUUCCUAGACCGCUGUGUUCCACUGUAUUAGAAUCCUCUUGACUUU
ensembl:lncRNA